CCUACGGGUGGCAGCAGUGGGGAAUAUUGGGCAAUGGGCGCAAGCCUGACCCAGCAACGCCGCGUGAAGGAAGAAGGCUUUCGGGUUGUAAACUUCUUUUCUCAGGGACGAAGAAAGUGACGGUACCUGAGGAAUAAGCCACGGCUAACUACGUGCCAGCAGCCGCGGUAAUACGUAGGUGGCAAGCGUUAUCCGGAUUUAUUGGGUGUAAAGGGCGUGUAGGCGGGAGCGCAAGUCAGAUGUGAAAACUCAGGGCUCAACCCUGAGCCUGCAUUUGAAACUGUGUUUCUUGAGUACUGGAGAGGCAGACGGAAUUCCUAGUGUAGCGGUGAAAUGCGUAGAUAUUAGGAGGAACACCAGUGGCGAAGGCGGUCUGCUGGACAGCAACUGACGCUGAGGCGCGAAAGCGUGGGGAGCAAACAGGAUUAGAUACCCUUGUAGUC
rnacentral:rRNA from 1 species